GAGGGUAUAGCUCAAGUGGUAGAGCACAUGCUUAGCAUACACAAGGUCCUGGGUUCAAUCCCCAGUAUCUCCU
rnacentral:tRNA from 1 species